GACGAACGCUGGCGGCGUGCUUAACACAUGCAAGUCGAACGGAAAGGCCCUGCUUUUGUGGGGUGCUCGAGUGGCGAACGGGUGAGUAACACGUGAGUAACCUGCCCUUGACUUUGGGAUAACUUCAGGAAACUGGGGCUAAUACCGGAUAGGAGCUCCUGCUGCAUGGUGGGGGUUGGAAAGUUUCGGCGGUUGGGGAUGGACUCGCGGCUUAUCAGCUUGUUGGUGGGGUAGUGGCUUACCAAGGCUUUGACGGGUAGCCGGCCUGAGAGGGUGACCGGCCACAUUAGGACUGAGGUACGGCCCAGACUCCUACGGGAGGCAAAAGGGGGGAAUAUUGCACAAUGGGGGGAAGCCUGAUGCAAACACGCCGGGUGCGGGAUGACGGGCUUUGGGUUGUAAACCGCUUUCGCCUGUGACGAAGCGUGAGUGACGGUAAUGGGUAAAGAAGCGCCGGCUAACUACGUG
rnacentral:rRNA from 1 species